rnacentral:rRNA from 1 species
CCCGUCAAUUCAUUUGAGUUUUAAUCUUGCGACCGUACUCCCCAGGCGGUCAACUUCACGCGUUAGCUUCGUUACUAAGGAAAUGAAUCCCCAACAACUAGUUGACAUCGUUUAGGGCGUGGACUACCAGGGUAUCUAAUCCUGUUUGCUCCCCACGCUUUCGUGCAUGAGCGUCAGUAUUGGCCCAGGGGGCUGCCUUCGCCAUCGGUAUUCCUCCACGUCUCUACGCAUUUCACUGCUACACGUGGAAUUCUACCCCCCUCUGCCAUACUCUAGCUUGCCAGUCACGAAUGCAGUUCCCAGGUUGAGCCCGGGGAUUUCACAUCCGUCUUAACAAACCGCCUGCGCACGCUUUACGCCCAGUAAUUCCGAUUAACGCUUGCACCCUACGUAUUACCGCGGCUGCUGGCACA